rnacentral:misc_RNA from 1 species
UUAGAACAGAUUUGUUCGUAGUGUCCACACAGAUGAUUGUUAGUUAGCUUUAUAGCUAAUUAAUAUUGCUCUUUAAAAAUUUGGAAAAGCUGAUAAUUAAUUCUUUUAGAAGAAAUUCUAAAAAGAGUUUUCAAAAGUAAAACAAUGCCGAUAAACAUUCAUUUGUUUAUUAGCGUCUACUUUAGUAUUCAAUAUUAACUUCUGGCGAAGUUAAAACUGUCUUUGACGAUACAAACCAUUUUGGGUUGUAUGGUUAAGUGACUAAGCGUACACGGUGGAUGCCUUGGC